AUGGAGCCGAAGUUCGAGCACACCUCCAUGGUGUUCUCGAACUUGGUGCGGUCACCAGCCGACCACCCGAGGAAGAAGGACCUCCAGCCAAUACCCCAACGGAAGGGGUUGGCGUUGGAGCUGGAGCUGGAGCUCAUGGCGAUGGAGAGGAGGAAGGUUGAUAGUGAGACAAGAGAGGGGAUCGAGGAGAGCAAUGAGAUGUGCAUGGAGGUGCUCCCGGUCGUUGACAACAAGGGCAAGCAUUCGGUUCAUCCAAUGCCCGAGGUGGUGCUGCCGCCCACCGCCGAGGAAGAACCGAAGACGCCAACGGUUGGCGGCGACGAGCGCAUGGAGGAGCCCCACAGCAGCAAGCGCCACAACUACGACCACUACCAUGAGUAG
rnacentral:rRNA from 1 species